AUACGGAGGGUGCAAGCGUUACUCGGAAUCACUGGGCGUAAAGCGCGCGCAGGCGGUCUUUUAAGUUGGAUGUGAAAGCCUACGGCUCAACCGUAGAACUGCAUCCAAAACUAUUAGACUAGAGUGUGGGAGAGGAAGAUGGAAUUAGUUGUGUAGGGGUAAAAUCCGUAGAGAUAACUAGGAAUACCAAAAGCGAAGGCAAUCUUCUGGAACACUACUGACGCUGAGGCGCGAAAGCGUGGGGAGCAAACAGUAUUAGAAACCCCAGUAGUCC
rnacentral:rRNA from 1 species